UACGGAGGAUGCAAGCGUUAUCCGGAAUGAUUGGGCGUAAAGCGUCCGCAGGUGGCCAUGUAAGUCUGCUGUCAAAGCGUCUGGCUCAACCAGAUAAAGGCAGUGGAAACUACAUAGCUAGAGUAAGGUAGGGGUAGAGGGAAUUCCUGGUGUAGCGGUGAAAUGCGUAGAGAUCAGGAAGAACACCGGUGGCGAAAGCGCUCUGCUGGACCUUAACUGACACUGAGGGACGAAAGCUAGGGGAGCGAACAGG
rnacentral:rRNA from 1 species